rnacentral:rRNA from 1 species
AGCAGAGAUGCUUUAGUGCCUUCGGGAACUCUGAGACAGGUGCUGCAUGGCUGUCGUCAGCUCGUGUUGUGAAAUGUUGGGUUAAGUCCCGNAACGAGCGCAACCCUUAUCCUUUGUUGCCAGCACGUAAUGGUGGGAACUCAAAGGAGACUGCCGGUGAUAAACCGGAGGAAGGUGGGGAUGACGUCAAGUCAUCAUGGCCCUUACGAGUAGGGCUACACACGUGCUACAAUGGCGCAUACAAAGAGAAGCGACCUCGCGAGAGCAAGCGGACCUCAUAAAGUGCGUCGUAGUCCGGAUUGGAGUCUGCAACUCGACUCCAUGAAGUCGGAAUCGCUAGUAAUCGUAAAUCAGAAUGUUACGGUGAAUACGUUCCCGGGCCUUGUACACACCGCCCGUCACACCAUGGGAGUGGGUUGCAAAAGAAGUAGAUAGCUUAACCUUCGGGAGGGCGUUUACCACUUUGUGAUUCAUGACUGGGGUGAAGUCGUAACAAGGUAAGCGUAGUGCU